GAUAUUGAUGACAAAUUAAAAAAUAUCAUCUCCAUACUACCAUUUAUCAGACCAAAACAAUUUGAAUGCUCUGGAGGAAUUCUUGUUGGAUUCUGCCAAUGUUGCAGCCUUUAGUAAGUACCUAAGCCUAGUUGGAGGUAAUAGUGCCAAAGAUGUGGUAAAACACAUCAUGUUCAAAAUUUUCAGUGCACAGAUGGGCUGUUAAUACAGUUGGGAUGGCGCCAAGAAGAAAAACAGAUUUAAAUCUCUCAAAGUGGCACAAGUUAUAAUAGAUACCGUGAGGCUAAAUCCUCCUACAAAAUUUGCUACUGACUGUGAAAUAAUUAAUAAUGUAAAACUCUGGCUUGUCAGAUGCCCUGACAGAAUAGAAGGAGGAAGAAAAUCUGUGCGACCCGGAACAGGAGAAGAUCGCUUCAAUAAUAUGGCCGAAAGGGAGCUAACCUAAAUGCCAAUUUAUAAAAGUUCAAUAUUUUAUGUUUAUGCAACACAAGUUUAAUAGAAAAAUAUUCUUUCUUUUUUAUUAUUUACGAUUUGCUACUUGGCAGAAUUAUACAUUUUAUUUCACUGAAACUUUGGAUAUAGAAUUUUUAUUAUACAUAUGUUGACCAGAACUUCGAAAAACUAAUGGGAAAAAUAUUUGUUUUAAGUUGCAGUCUCCGUCCAUAUUUAUAAUUUGUAAUUGUUUUUCUAAUAUAUACAGUGUAUCCCACCGGAAAUCGCCGCGAUCGAUA